rnacentral:rRNA from 1 species
UGCAGUCGAGCGGNNAGAAGGGAGCUUGCUCCCGGAUGUUAGCGGCGGACGGGUGAGUAACACGUGGGUAACCUGCCUGUAAGACUGGGAUAACUCCGGGAAACCGGAGCUAAUACCGGAUAGUUCCUUGAACCGCAUGGUUCAAGGAUGAAAGACGGUUUCGGCUGUCACUUACAGAUGGACCCGCGGCGCAUUAGCUAGUUGGUGAGGUAACGGCUCACCAAGGCGACGAUGCGUAGCCGACCUGAGAGGGUGAUCGGCCACACUGGGACUGAGACACGGCCCAAACUCCUACGGGAGGCAGCAGUAGGGAAUCUUCCGCAAUGGACGAAAGUCUGACGGAGCAACGCCGCGUGAGUGAUGAAGGUUUUCGGAUCGUAAAGCUCUGUUGUUAGGGAAGAACAAGUGCAAGAGUAACUGCUUGCACCUUGACGGUACCUAACCAGAAAGCCACGGCUAACUACGUGCCAGCAGCCGCGGUAAUACGUAGGUGGCAAGCGUUGUCCGGAAUUAUUGGGCGUAAAGGGCUCGCAGGCGGUUUCUUAAGUCUGAUGUGAAAGCCCCCGGCUCAACCGGGGAGGGUCAUUGGAAACUGGGAAACUUGAGUGCAGAAGAGGAGAGUGGAAUUCCACGUGUAGCGGUGAAAUGCGUAGAGAUGUGGAGGAACACCAGUGGCGAAGGCGACUCUCUGGUCUGUAACUGACGCUGAGGAGCGAAAGCGUGGGGAGCGAACAGGAUUAGAUACCCUGGUAGUCCACGCCGUAAACGAUGAGUGCUAAGUGUUAGGGGGUUUCCGCCCCUUAGUGCUGCAGCUAACGCAUUAAGCACUCCGCCUGGGGAGUACGGUCGCAAGACUGAAACUCAAAGGAAUUGACGGGGGCCCGCACAAGCGGUGGAGCAUGUGGUUUAAUUCGAAGCAACGCGAAGAACCUUACCAGGUCUUGACAUCCUCUGACAACCCUAGAGAUAGGGCUUUCCCUUCGGGGACAGAGUGACAGGUGGUGCAUGGUUGUCGUCAGCUCGUGUCGUGAGAUGUUGGGUUAAGUCCCGCAACGAGCGCAACCCUUGAUCUUAGUUGCCAGCAUUCAGUUGGGCACUCUAAGGUGACUGCCGGUGACAAACCGGAGGAAGGUGGGGAUGACGUCAAAUCAUCAUGCCCCUUAUGACCUGGGCUACACACGUGCUACAAUGGACAGAACAAAGGGCUGCGAGACCGCAAGGUUUAGCCAAUCCCACAAAUCUGUUCUCAGUUCGGAUCGCAGUCUGCAACUCGACUGCGUGAAGCUGGAAUCGCUAGUAAUCGCGGAUCAGCAUGCCGCGGUGAAUACGUUCCCGGGCCUUGUACACACCGCCCGUCACACCACGAGAGUUUGCAACACCCGAAGUCGGUGAGGUAACC